rnacentral:rRNA from 1 species
GAUGAACGCUAGCUACAGGCUUAACACAUGCAAGUCGAGGGGAAACGCCAUCGAAAGCUUGCUUUUGAUGGGCGUCGACCGGCGCACGGGUGAGUAACGCGUAUCCAACCUGCCCAUCACUUGGGAAUAACCUUGCGAAAGUAAGACUAAUACCCAAUGACAUCCCACGAAGACAUCUGAAUGGGAUUAAAGAUUUAUCGGUGAUGGAUGGGGAUGCGUCUGAUUAGCUUGUUGGCGGGGUAACGGCCCACCAAGGCAACGAUCAGUAGGGGUUCUGAGAGGAAGGUCCCCCACAUUGGAACUGAGACACGGUCCAAACUCCUACGGGAGGCAGCAGUGAGGAAGAUUGGUCAAUGGGAGAGAGCCUGAACCAGCCAAGUAGCGUGCAGGAGGACGGCCCUAUGGGUUGUAAACUGCUUUUAGAAGGGAAUAAAGUGGGUCUCGUGAGACUUUUUGCAUGUACCUUAUGAAUAAGAACCGGCUAAUUCCGUG